GAAGUCCAACCUUAUACAUAUUCCGUUUCACACACUAUCUCUUUAACCUUUCGUGUUCUCUCUCCCUCUUCUUUACCGUCUCUCCCUCUUCCUUGCUGGGAACUUUCAGAUCUAAAAUAACAUUAGUAUCUUAUUGAUAAUCUAUAGUAAUCAUUGCAAGAACAGAUUAUAAGUUUGGAUCUUGUUAUUGCUACGGAACUUGGGUAAUUUAAUCGUGAUAUUGAGCAGUUCCUGUUAAAGAAGGUUUGCUUGAUAUGAUAAAAUUGAAAACAAAGGGAAAAUCUUGUGAUUUUUCAACUUUCUUAAGGGCGUUAGUGAAUACUGCUAAUCAAGUUGGGGAAAUUUCCAUUGCUAGGUAAUUCCCAUAUCUUCCAUAAAUACAGGAACGAUUCCGAAUUCUGAAAAUACUUAUCUUCCUUCCUUAAACAUUGAUUUUGCGGAAGUAGAGAAGAUGAUCGGGUUUGCAGGGAAGAAGAUCGGGUUUGCAGGAGUGUAGAGAAGAAGAUUGGCAUGAAGUUCUGUUUUCUUUUUAUUGUUGUCAUAUGAUGUUCUUCAUCAUUCAUGUCUGUAUGCAUUUGUGUGAAUUAAAUUUAUAUAUGUAUCAAAAGUUUUAUAUAUGAUAUAAAGCUAAUUCAUCAA